rnacentral:rRNA from 1 species
UUAGGCGACCAUAGCGGCGGGGUUACACCCGUACCCAUCCCGAACACGGAAGUUAAGCCCGCCUGCGUUCCAUCCGGUACUGGGGUGCGCGAGCCCCCGGGACAGAUGGCUCCGAGA